UACGAAGGGGGCUAGCGUUGUUCGGAUUUACUGGGCGUAAAGCGCACGUAGGCGGAUCGAUCAGUCAGGGGUGAAAUCCCAGAGCUCAACUCUGGAACUGCCUUUGAUACUGUCGAUCUGGAGUAUGGAAGAGGUGAGUGGAAUUCCGAGUGUAGAGGUGAAAUUCGUAGAUAUUCGCAAGAACACCAGAUGGCGAAGGCGGCU
rnacentral:rRNA from 1 species